GUGAUGCCAUUUCCAUGGAGAUCUUUAUAGGCUCCAUCACUUCUUAGUGUACCUUCACCCUAUGACUUUCUGCAAAGUGUUUCUGCGAAGUGUUUUCUAUACCAGCACUUUCCGUCGACCAAGGCAGCUUGGACAUUUUCUCUGCACAAGUAUAUCACUCAGCCUUUCAGCUGGCAUGGAAAUCCAGUUCAUUUAGGUUGAGGAUCAGUUCUUGGUGAAUCAUUCCGGUGAGUUUUGGCAUUGUCAGAGUCGUUUCUCCUGGUUGGGCUUGUAGACACAAGUGACUUUUUUUCCCCACUCAAUUCUAAAAUAAUUUUAGUCACUGAAGAACUGGACAAGCUCAUGGGAGGCAGCAUUGUCAGAGUUACACUGUUCUCUUCUCUAUGGAGUUCUCAGGAUAUUGUAUUCUUAUGAUUAAUUUUUCUUAAGACAGAAACACAUGCUAAUACAUUAUAUCAUACUUUUCUAGCCAAACUUUAAAAUAAAAUGUACAUUUAUAUUUUAAUAUAACGUAUUAUUUAAAGUAUGUUUAUCACUUAAAACUUACAGAGGAGUUGUAGUAAUAGUACUCUGUAUUCUUUUUAUACACAUUUAUCACAUAUUUCUGUUUUGCUCCACUUAACUGGUUUUCUAUGCUCUCCUUUUCUAUCUGUAUAUGGAUAUAAAUACAUGUAAUCUUUACUUUUAAAUAUUUUUCUGAGUCAUCUGAGAUGUAAGUUUCAAGUAUAAUGCCCUAUUAUACGGAAACAUCCAAUAUAUGUUUCCUAAGGGCAAAGUGGCUUUUAACCAUGGCACAACAUUGUGAGGUUUAAUCAACAAAGAUAGAAAACUGCUAAAGUCUGUGUCCAAAUUUUAUUAAUUGCCUCAGUGACAUUCUUUUUACAGUCCAGGAUCUAAUCUAGGUUCAAGUAUUGCAUUUUUUCUGACUGUGUUCUUUUAGUGUUUUUUUAAUCUGGAAGGGUUCCUAAGAUUUUUAUCUUUCAGAGCAGUCUAUUCUAGAAAUGAAGCUGUACAUACCAUGGCUUUACAUUUACAUGGCCAGAAAUGGAGACUGAGUUGACUUUUUGCAAUAAGCCAAAAGCUGAUUGUGACUUUGGCUCAAUCCUUCCAAAUCCCAGGUCUGAGCCUUGCAUUUGUCCUUUCACCCUGCUCGAUACCUGGGACAUCAAACACCCUGGGCAGUGGCCAGAGCAGAUCUCAUCCGAACUUCUGUCCAAGUGGACCUGAAAGGUUUAAGUCAUUGUGGAGACAGGAAGCAGGUGGCCAAGGCAAUCACUUUCCUCCUUUGCAAUUGGAAAGAAUCUUGAAGUCCUAGCAUCCCCUUGGUAACUUUUGAUGGCUGUGCUGGGCCUCUAAGCUGUAAUCAGAGCUUGGCUUCUCUUAGGCAGCUCAUGGACAAUCCUCUUUAAUGCAGCUGCAAUGGGGUUAGCCAAAGUCCGCAUACUCAAGUGCUGCAAUAUGGACACACAGUACAUCGUAAGGUAGUUAAUGAGAACAACAUUUCAUUUUGUAUUUCUAUACUGCUUUAACCUUUCACAAGCCACGUUCUUGCUUAUCCUUGCAAUACCACUGUGAAAAAGGAAGGGCAUUUAGAUAGCCUUCACAUUUUAGACAUGGAGAUUAGUCAGUAAGAUUUAACAAAUAUUUACUAAAGAAUGCUUUUGGAGAUAAUACACUGUUUAAAAAUGUAUAUAAAAAUAUAGAAACAGAAAAGCUCUUUGGUUUAAUUAUGAUUUUCAGUAUAGUGAUUGCACUCAUAAUUCUAAACUGGAAGAAUAUUCUGCAAAAUGAAAUUAAAAGGAAAAUAUAUCUGACAUAGUACUUGAACGUAUAUCUCUCACAUCAUUUAGAUCCACACUUUUUUCUAUUUGCAGGUAUAUAUAUAUAUACCCUCCUAACAGUGUUCAGAAAGACAGUUUGAUGAGUAAAGAUGGGUCCCGGCCCUGACAUCACAGUCACAAUUAGCUUGAAUAUGAAUGGUUUUGGACAAUAUAAGCAAAAGCACAGAACAGGUUGGGAAGGCCAUUUGAUGGCGACCCAAGGCUAGCAAAGACUUCACAGAUGUGCUCUUUAACUGGGGGUCUUGAAGGCCUGACAAGCUUUGAAAAGGCUGGAGAGGCAAGCAGAUGCAGGAGCUUUAACUCAUUAGCAAGAGCAGUAUUAUACGACCAAGAAAGUGCAGGGUGUGUUUGAAAAAG
rnacentral:lncRNA from 1 species